UGCCGUCCUCUAGGGGCAAGGGUGCCCCUUAGGCUAAGCAGAUUCUCUAUGCAGUUCGGAAGCACUGCGUCAAUGACUACAAGGCCUCCACGAUAUUUGAGAAGGAUGCCACCAACAUCACCGCUACUAUCUUUAUCCUUGGAUUCGAGAAUUGUAAGACCCACCAGUGGUGGAUGAUGCCGCAAUUGGACCUCCACUACCUUCUCUUGGAGAGCAGUGAUG
rnacentral:lncRNA from 1 species